rnacentral:rRNA from 1 species
CCUACGGGUGGCAGCAGUGAGGAAUAUUGGUCAAUGGGCGGAAGCCUGAACCAGCCAAGUCGCGUGAGGGAUUAAGGCCCUGCGGGUCGUAAACCUCUUUUGCCGGGGAGCAGUGGUCCGGACGCGUCCGUCCCGGGAGAGUACCCGGAGAAAAAGCAUCGGCUAACUCCGUGCCAGCAGCCGCGGUAAUACGGAGGAUGCGCGCCUUAUCCGGAUGUAGUGGGUUUGAAGGGUGCGUAGGCGGGCAUUUAAGCCGGCGGUCAAAUGUCGGGGCUCAACCCCGGCCGGCCCUCGGACCUGGGUGCCGCGAGUGGGCGAGAAGUAUGCGGAAUGCGUGGUGUAGCGGUGAAAUGCAUAGAUAUCACGCAGAACCCCGAUUGCGAAGGCAGCAUACCGGCGCCCUACUGACGCUGAGGCACGAAAGUGCGGGUAUCGAACAGGAUUUGAUACCCGGGUAGUC